UUUUUCUUUCUUUAAUUUUUUUAUUUUAUCCUUUUUGAAGAAAUGGUUUCUACGUGGUCUGCUUUAAACAGUCAGUGACACUAUUCAUUGUGAACACGUAUCGUUCCCACCGCUACUUUCAUUCGUUUUCUGCCACGUCUCCAUUCACCGCUUCCUCUGCUUUUUCACCAUCUGAUUGAUAUCUUUUGCUUCAUUCUUUCAUACAUGUUCUUCCAAAUCGACCCACAAAUGUUAAUGUGGUUUCCCCAUCUGCUUAAACGAACCACAGAGAACGCAGAUGCUCAACGUACAUCGAUUUUUUGAGGGAUGGAAAAAGCAAGGGUCGGCACACACACAUAUAAACGGUCUCUCUUCAGCUUCUACUAUGCCACUGCUUCUUCAACACUCGAACAAAGAAAGGUCCAUCUAAUUCACUGUCAUCGUCAAGUUCAUCAGCCGGUAUUCCUUCAAUUCUCUUUCUAUUUCAAUAUCACAUAAAAUUUAUGUGGUUUGGAUCGAUUGGAUUCAGUUUUCAGACACAUGUUGAUGUUUUUUCCCUGUUUCUCUUUUUGCUCCUCUGAUUGAGUCGUCUACGAUUCGUGACCGUUGUCAAGUCGAUUAUAAAGAUUCAAGAUGUGGCGGCCGUGGUCAUGUAUACCGGAAAUAACGAUGAACGAAGAACCUGUUACGGAGGUGGAGUGGAGAAGGGAACCGAAUUGGAUGGUUUCGACGACCCACAAUGUAAAAAAAUUCCAAGCUUUUGAAGAAUGAUUUCCUCUAUAAUCUCCAUGCUUCCAAUCUCUUCAUCAUUCACUUCCACCAGUAUUGCAAUAAUCACCACCAUCAACUGGUCCAUAACUAUACGAUACAAAGCCACAGCAUUCCUAAAAAAAUCAUCGUCUCAAACCCACCUUAACUCCAAAUCCCCCCAAUUUCCUGUUGUUGAAAAGGCUCUUAGGGUUCUCGAGUGGGAUAAAGUCUGUGAUUCGGUUGCUUCAUUUGCAGGUACUUCAUUUGGACAACAACCCACCAAGGCAGAGCUACUGUGUUUGGAUCAAUCAUACCAAGAGAGUUUGUGACUAUUAGCAGAGACAAAUGCGGAUCGAUAAAAAAAACAAGGAAGGGAUAUUUGAUAAAAAAGUGGCGGGUGGUGGUGGUGGUGGUGGAAAUGGUUACUAAGGUUGUGUACAAACUAAGAGAAGAUAAAAAAGAGUUUCAGAAGCAGUUUGGAUCGUAAUGGAAGGAAUCAGAAAAAAUGCUAACCCCAGGACGAGGUCAUCUGCAAAUGGUAAUUAUAUGGAUGGUGUGUUCUUCCUCACUACAUAUCAUAGGACGUGUUUUAAUGGUCAUAAGUAACAUCCAUUUAUAUAAUUUAUUUGUUUAAUUUCAUUUAAUAAUGAAUCCAUGCCACAAGAUCGAUUCAAGAUGUUCCUUUAUAAUGUUACAUAUUCAUUUAAAUCAUUAUUGAACAUUUUACCUU